rnacentral:misc_RNA from 1 species
UGAAACUUCCUCUGUAUUCUGGCCACUGCAACCACUACCCAUACAUAAAUCUGGUCAAUCAUGUAACCAAGAAAACGGAAAUAGGCAUGCCUCCAAGAUUUGUUCAAUAGUAAAGGGCCCCAAAAUCCCCAAAACCCUGCACAGAAGCCAAUUCCCAGGCUGAGAUAGAAUGGUGGUAUUUCAAAUCCAUGCCCUUUUUCUGCUUCAAUGCUUUUGUUAUUGCCUUCUAAUUCCUUGUCUAUGCAGUUUGGAUCUUCAUAAGAUUUAUCUUCCAAGCAACUGUUUGCAAGGGGAGGUCCACAGAGUUUAUGAUUACCAAGAAAGGCUGUAGCAUCAAAUGUUUGAAACUGAUUCCCCGAAGGAAUUUUUCCUGACAACUUGUUAUGAGACAAAUUUAGAUAUGAAAGAAAGGAUAAGUUGGACAUGGUAGUUGGGAUGGCACAAGAAAGUUGAUUCCUCGAUAAAUCCAAAG